GAUGAACGCUGGCGGCGUGCUUAAUACAUGCAAGUCGAGCGAACGGACGAGAAGCUUGCUUUUCUGAUGUUAGCGGCGGACGGGUGAGUAACACGUGGAUAACCCACCUAUAAGACUGGGAUAACUUCGGGACACCGGAGCUAACACCGGAUAAUAUUUUGAACCGUAUGGUUCAAAAGUGAAAGACGGGCUUGCUGUCACUUAUAGAUGGAUCCGCGCUGCAUUGGCUAGUUGGUAAGGUAACGGCUUACCAAGGCAACGAUGCAUAGCCGACCUGAGAGGGUGAUCGGCCACACUGGAACUGAGACACGGUCCAGACUCCUACGGGAGGCAGCAGUAGGGAAUCUUCCGCAAUGGGCGAAAGCCUGACGGAGCAACGCCGCGUGAGUGAUGAAGGUCUUCGGAUCGUAAAACUCUGUUAUUAGGGAAGAACAUAUGUGUAAGUAACUGUGCACAUCUUGACGGUACCUAAUCAGAAAGCCACGGCUAACUACGUG
rnacentral:rRNA from 1 species